GAAAAAGCAAAGCCAAACAGAGCAGGGGAAAAAAUUCCUCUCCAGCUCAAAUCCACCCCAUUCGUGCUCAAAAGACAGUCACACUCUCUCUUUCAAUCUUUCCCUGUUUAUUCUCCGCCGUCCACCGUCACUUCCGCUUCAGCAGAUUCCCACAUUUCAUCUUUUCCCGAUCUCCCUCAAAGCUCAUUUCUUUUCUUUCCUUUCUCAACCUAAGAAUCUCUCUUUCUCUUUACUUCUUUUCUCUCUUGUAGAUUCUUUUGUUUCCCUCUUAAUAAUUCCUCCCUUUUUAAUCAAACAUGUCCCUACUGCGUUGUUCCCUCCCUCUUGUUCUUCUUCUCUCUAACCACUUUUAUUCAUUCUCUUCAUUUCUGUCAUUUUCGUUUCCUUGGGUUUCCUUUGAUUUCAUCAUAUUU
rnacentral:misc_RNA from 1 species